rnacentral:lncRNA from 1 species
GGAACAGAGGGUAACAGGUUAGACUAGAAAAUUUAGUUCCUCUCUGCUUUUAACCUGCCAGCUCCUAGUUUUUCUUUGGGAAAAUCACUCAGGCCCUCUGGGUUUGAAUUGCACUGUCUGUGCAACACUUCAUAGAGCAUUGGCCUCAAAGUUCUUUUCUAGCUGUAACAGCCUGCGAGUCUGUGAAACCAAUUGCUAACUGCACAGCAGACUGACUCCUAGAGAAUGUGCACAGCCCAGCAGCUCAGACCAUUACUACGGAAAGAAAGAAAAACAUCAUGGCUGCUGCUUCCUGCUCCUGAUAACCGAAUUGUGAGGAUGAUGGCAAUUCAUGGAGGAUGGCUGGGAAGUUAAUCAGCAGGGAGGAAUGAGGAAGAAAGCAGGGAGAACGUCCACGCCUUCCCAUAGCAAGGCUGAAAAUGAAGCUGCCAGAAAACAAGUAAGGAAAUAAAAAGACAAGUAAAGAGACCUAAGGAGUGGAGAAUACGGUUGUUAAAAGGAGUGGAGUGAGAAGGCCGUGGUUUGAAGACCUGAUAUGACUGGCAUGCAGAACGCUCCCGCUCCCCACAAGGCUGGCUGGCAUGUCUAUUGUCCACCGUGUGCUUUCGGGGGACUUGGAAUAUUUAGCUGGUUUGCCACCACUGCCCAGAGCCCCUGCCACUGAUAUGUGCGCAAGAAAACAAGAAGUAUAACAUUAGAUUUGGCAAAGCAUGAAAAGGAGGCAGAGCUGCUGCAGGAAGAAAAUUCAUCUAACACUUUAUAAAGUAAAACAAAUAAAUGUGAGUGUUCUGUUUCACAUCUCUGAUCGCUUCAUUCAUACGGAAAAUUCAAAAUUAUCUGCAAUGGACAUAUAUUCAGGGUGCCCAGUCUAGGCCAUUUCUUUAUCUA